UAUAUCUCGUUGAAACACCGGUUCCAGUACGAUCACUAAUUUAAGCAAUGUCGAGCCUGGUCAGUACCUAGAUGGGCGACCGCUUGGGAAUAGCAGGUUCUGU